GUGAAUCAUCGAAUUUUUGAACGCAAAUUGCACUCUCUUCGGAGAGUAUGCCUGUUUGAGGGUCAGCCUAAAAAAAAUCGACAUCGUCGCUGUUUCGCGGUGACAUUCGUCGGAAAUUGGGUUAUCUUAAACCUUUGGGUUUUGAGCGGUUAAAAAUUUUUUUUGCGUUCCUACGCAUGUCUCU
rnacentral:misc_RNA from 1 species